AAAAAAUGGUGCUUAGUGCUACAGUACCCAUCAUCAAUGGAGGUAUCAACAUAAGGGCAAAAUCGGAAUUUCAUCAUUCACCUGUUAGAAAGUUCGAAUAUGGGAGUACACAGAACACUGAAUUGGCGUCAUGGAAAACCAGGAGUCCAGCAAUCCGCGUCCUGGCAAAUCCCAAUGCAUCUCCAGGGAGAGAGAGAACAAAGAAGGAAGUGAUCAUGGUGGAUCCUUUAGAAGCCAAGCGAUUAGCUGCGAAGCAAAUGGUGGAAAUCAAAGCUAAAGAGAGAUAUCAAAGACGGCGACAAAUAGAAGCCAUUAACGGUGCGUGGGCUAUGAUCGGUCUCACGGUCGGAUUAAUCAUCGAAGGACACACAGGACUCAGCAUUCCAUCUCAGUUGGCAAGCUACGUAUCUGCAGUCGUUGGGAUCUUUACGAAAUAGAUACAGGCCAAGAUGAGGAACCAAAGACACUAUCAUCGAAGUAUUCGUUAACUCAAAAAACGUGAGAUCACACGAACUGUUAAUUCUUGUGCAGGAUUUUGGUUUUCAAUCCUCUGCAUUCUUGAUGUUACCAUAGUGCAUAUCUUUCUAUUCAGGCUAAAUGUCA
rnacentral:misc_RNA from 1 species